rnacentral:rRNA from 1 species
GAUGAACGCUGGCGGCGUGCCUAACACAUGCAAGUCGAACGAUGAAACCGCCCUCGGGCGGACAUGAAGUGGCGAACGGGUGAGUAACACGUGACCAACCUGCCCCUUGCUCCGGGACAACCUUGGGAAACCGAGGCUAAUACCGGAUACUCCUCGCCCCCCUCCUGGGGGGCCCGGGAAAGCCCAGACGGCAAGGGAUGGGGUCGCGGCCCAUUAGGUAGUAGGCGGGGUAACGGCCCACCUAGCCCGCGAUGGGUAGCCGGGUUGAGAGACCGACCGGCCACAUUGGGACUGAGAUACGGCCCAGACUCCUACGGGAGGCAGCAGUGGGGAAUUUUGCGCAAUGGGGGAAACCCUGACGCAGCAACGCCGCGUGCGGGACGACGGCCUUCGGGUUGUAAACCGCUUUCAGCAGGGAAGAAAUUCGACGGUA